rnacentral:rRNA from 1 species
AAAGGCAGGGACACUUGUGAAAAAGGGAACCCCGAGUGCUCGUAUGUGCGAGCUGUUCAGGUGUAUAAAACGCAUCUGAAGAAAGGGCCGGGCAAGACCGGUGCCAGCCGCCGCGGUAAUACCGGCGGCUCGAGUGGUGGCCAUUUUUAUUGGGCUUAAAGCGUUCGUAGCUUGAAUAUUAAGUCUCUUGGGAAAUCUCACGGCUUAACCGUGAGGCGUCCAGGAGAUACUGGUAUUCUUGGGAUCGGAAGAGGUAAGAGGUACUCCGGGGGUAGGAGUGAAAUCCUGUAAUCCCUGGGGGACCACCGAUGGCGAAGGCAUCUUACCAGGACGAAUCCGACAGUGAGGAACGAAAGCUGGGGGAGCGAACCGGAUUAGAUACCCGGGUAGUCCCAGCCGUAAACUAUGCGCGUUAGGUGUGCCGGUGACCACGAGUUACUGGGGUGCCGAAGGGAAACCGUGAAACGUGCCGCCUGGGAAGUACGGUCGCAAGGCUGAAACUUAAAGGAAUUGGCGGGGG